AAAUUGAAGAGUUUGAUCAUGGCUCAGAUUGAACGCUGGCGGCAGGCCUAACACAUGCAAGUCGAGCGGUAGCACAGAGAGCUUGCUCUCGGGUGACGAGCGGCGGACGGGUGAGUAAUGUCUGGGAAACUGCCUGAUGGAGGGGGAUAACUACUGGAAACGGUAGCUAAUACCGCAUAAUGUCGCAAGACCAAAGUGGGGGACCUUCGGGCCUCAUGCCAUCAGAUGUGCCCAGAUGGGAUUAGCUAGUAGGUGGGGUAACGGCUCACCUAGGCGACGAUCCCUAGCUGGUCUGAGAGGAUGACCAGCCACACUGGAACUGAGACACGGUCCAGACUCCUACGGGAGGCAGCAGUGGGGAAUAUUGCACAAUGGGCGCAAGCCUGAUGCAGCCAUGCCGCGUGUGUGAAGAAGGCCUUCGGGUUGUAAAGCACUUUCAGCGGGGAGGAAGGCGUUAAGGUUAAUAACCUUGGCGAUUGACGUUACCCGCAGAAGAAGCACCGGCUAACUCCGUGCCAGCAGCCGCGGUAAUACGGAGGGUGCAAGCGUUAAUCGGAAUUACUGGGCGUAAAGCGCACGCAGGCGGUCUGUCAAGUCGGAUGUGAAAUCCCCGGGCUCAACCUGGGAACUGCAUUCGAAACUGGCAGGCUAGAGUCUUGUAGAGGGGGGUAGAAUUCGAGGUGUAGCGGUGAAAUGCGUAGAGAUCUGGAGGAAUACCGGUGGCGAAGGCGGCCCCCUGGACAAAGACUGACGCUCAGGUGCGAAAGCGUGGGGAGCAAACAGGAUUAGAUACCCUGGUAGUCCACGCCGUAAACGAUGUCGAUUUGGAGGUUGUGCCCUUGAGGCGUGGCUUCCGGAGCUAACGCGUUAAAUCGACCGCCUGGGGAGUACGGCCGCAAGGUUAAAACUCAAAUGAAUUGACGGGGGCCCGCACAAGCGGUGGAGCAUGUGGUUUAAUUCGAUGCAACGCGAAGAACCUUACCUGGUCUUGACAUCCACAGAACUUUCCAGAGAUGGAUUGGUGCCUUCGGGAACUGUGAGACAGGUGCUGCAUGGCUGUCGUCAGCUCGUGUUGUGAAAUGUUGGGUUAAGUCCCGCAACGAGCGCAACCCUUAUCCUUUGUUGCCAGCGGUCCGGCCGGGAACUCAAAGGAGACUGCCAGUGAUAAACUGGAGGAAGGUGGGGAUGACGUCAAGUCAUCAUGGCCCUUACGACCAGGGCUACACACGUGCUACAAUGGCAUAUACAAAGAGAAGCGACCUCGCGAGAGCAAGCGGACCUCAUAAAGUAUGUCGUAGUCCGGAUUGGAGUCUGCAACUCGACUCCAUGAAGUCGGAAUCGCUAGUAAUCGUAGAUCAGAAUGCUACGGUGAAUACGUUCCCGGGCCUUGUACACACCGCCCGUCACACCAUGGGAGUGGGUUGCAAAAGAAGUAGGUAGCUUAACCUUCGGGAGGGCGCUUACCACUUUGUGAUUCAUGACUGGGGUGAAGUCGUAACAAGGUAACCGUAGGGGAACCUGCGGUUGGAUCACCUCCUUA
rnacentral:rRNA from 1 species